rnacentral:rRNA from 1 species
AGUGAACGCUGGCGGUAGGCCUAACACAUGCAAGUCGAACGGCAGAACAGUAAGAGCUGGCUCUUAUGGGUGGCGAGUGGCGGACGGGUGAGGAAUACAUCGGCAUCUACUUUUUCGUAGGGGAUAACGAAGGGAAACUUAACUUAAUAUCGCAUCCGACCUACGGGUGAAAGCAGGGAAUCUUCGUACCUUGCGCGUUUGAUUGCGCCUCUGUGGGAUUUGCUAGUUGGCGGGGUAAAGGCCCACGAAGGCGACGAUCCGUAGCUGGUGUGUGAGGAUGAUCAGCCACCCGAGAGCGGGGACACGGACCAGGCUCCUGAGGGAGGCAGCAGACUGGAAUAUUGGACAGUAGGCGCAAGCCUGAUCCAGCCGUAGCGCGUGGGUGGAGAAGGCGUUCGGGUUGUAAAGCCCUUUUGUUGGGAAAGAAAAGCAGCAGGUUAAGACGCCGCUGUUGUGACGGUACCCGAAGAAUAAGCACCGGCUAACUUCGUG